rnacentral:misc_RNA from 2 species
AAGUCGUAACAAGGUUUCCGUAGGUGAACCUGCGGAAGGAUCAUUAAUGAAUACACUGGACGCUCUUUUUAGAGGUCCGACCCUUCAUUACCUUCACACUGUGCACACACUUCAUUUUUACACCCAUUUUUAAACACUAUAGUAUAAGAAUGUACCAGUCUCUUAAUUGAGCAUAAAUAUAUAAUAAAACUUUCAGCAACGGAUCUCUUGGCUCUC